GACGAACGCUGGCGGCGUGCUUAACACAUGCAAGUCGAACGGAAAGGCCCUGCUUUUGUGGGGUGCUCGAGUGGCGAAAGGGUGAGUAACACGUGAUUAACCUGCCCUUGACUUUGGUAUAACUUCAGGAAACUGGUGCUAAUACCGACUAGGAGCUCCUGCUGCAUGGUGGGGGUUGGAAAGUUUCGGCGGUUGGGGAUGGACUCGCGGCUUAUCAGCUUGUUGGUGGGGUAGUGGCUUACCAAGGCUUUGACGGGUAGCCGGCCUGAGAGGGUGACCGGCCACAUUGGGACUGAGAUACGGCCCAGACUCCUACGGGAGGCAGCAGUGGGGAAUAUUGCACAAUGGGCGGAAGCCUGAUGCAGCAACGCCGCGUGAGGGAUGACGGCCUUCGGGUUGUAAACCGCUUUCGCCUGUGACGAAGCGUGAGUGACGGUAAUGGGUAAAGAAGCACCGGCUAACUACGUG
rnacentral:rRNA from 1 species